rnacentral:lncRNA from 1 species
AUUAGUCCUCCAUUUUUUUCCUAAAUAAUUUUUAGCACCCAUAAUUCCUAUUAUUUGAUUCAUUAUUUCUUAAGAAAGAAGAUAUAUAGAAAUUUAUAUCCACUUAGGCAAAGUUAGUCUAUUUGAUGUUAAAACCUAGAUCUCACAUCUCUCAAACUUCUCACAUCUCUAAAACUACUCUCAUUUCUCAACUUAAGGUGCCACUACAAAUGUAAACUAAUGUUCUAAGACUUAUACUAUUUUAUUCUUAUAUUUGACUAUUAGGAGCUGACAGCUGCAAACCCCUCUCAACACUUUGACGGUUGGUGUUAUUUUAGUUGGUCUUUUGCUGAUUUUAUUUAGAAAUGGACCUGAUUUUAACAAAAUAUCUUAGGUAUUUUUUUGUUAUUGCUUCUAACUAGAGCAUGAAUUAAAUUUAUUUAUCAAUUUUGAUCUAUUAAGGUACUUUUCUUUAAUCUCUUCUCUGCUCUUUAAGUUUUGAGCUAAAAGAAAAUAUUUAGAUUUUGUUGUUGCAUGUGCUACUAGGUUACAACUAUGAGUGGAUCUUUGUUAUUUUUAGGGUUGGAGAAUUAUUGGAUAUUGUUGUUGGAUCUAACUUUGUGUUGUGCGUUGUAAUUAAUAAAUUGUAGUUAGGUAUGGCAAAACUGUUGGAUUUUUCUAUUCCAUAUAUUAUUUAGUUGCUAAUGUGUGUUGGCAUUAAUUUAUUAUUUGUAGGUAUGGUAUAAUUUUGUGAUUUUGCUAUUACAUGUUCUAUUAAAUUAGAUACUAUGUGUGGUCUUAAUUUUUGUUGUGAGGUAUGUUAUAAUUGUGGUAUUUUGAUGUUGUAUGUGCUAAUAAAUAACUAUUGUGUGUGGUAUUAGGUUGUUGUUAGAAUCUUUUUUGAUAGAUUAUUCAAUGUGGACAUUGAUGUUGGAUUUUCUAUUGCAUUAGCUUUUAACAAAUCUAGUAUUGUUUUUUUACCCUAUUUCUUUUUAUUUUUUUUAUAAUAGAUUUGUGGGACGAAAUUUUAUUGGCAGCUUUGGUGAAAUUGGUUACUAUAAACCAGAUUUUUCUUACCUUUGAUCUUUAAUAUUUGAUGAUGAUUCAAUAAGUAAGGGUAGUGUGGGUUAAACAUGUAUAUUUUUGUUUUCUAAUAAUAUUUUGUGUGACGAUGUUGCCUUUCUCGAAUUUACAUAAAAUUAAUGUAUUUGGUUCUUUGUAAGAAAUGUCCACUAUUUGUUCAAAAGACUUAAGUGCGGAAUCUGUUUACUGGAGGUGUCUAAAUAUUAGUUAAGUUGUUGGUUUACUUAGUGUGACAUUUCAUUUAUUUAUGUUACUGGUUUUUUUCUAAGCUAUUGUUACUUAGUGUUUCAUCUCUUUUAGUUAUGUUAUUGGUUAUAGAGUUAUUGAUUUACAUAUUGUCUCUUUAUAAAAGUUAUUGAUUUUGGCAAAGUUGCUAGUUUACUUAGUCUAUUGAUGUUGGGCGUAUUUAUACGUCUAAGCACCAUAAUUUACCCAUGUUUUAGCUAAGUUUUGAGGAUAAAAUACAUACUUCUUGCAUUUUUAGUCCAUUUUUAGUUAAGUGAGAUGACCUAUGUGAUUAGCAUGCUUUUCAGGUACUAAUGAGGAAGAUUUCAGCACUUUGGGGACCUGUGGACAGCAAAGGAAAACUUCACAUAAAAAGGAAAGCAGCUCUUGGACUGAAUGUGAUGCAUGGGAACUUUUUCUCGGGAAAACUUAAUAUUUUUAAUAGUUAAGGAUGCAGUAGCAAUUUAUUAGAGAAGAAUAUUAUUAAAAGCCUUAUUGCUAAAUUUUUAAUGCAUUAUUGACAUUAUUCAGAUUCUGUAAUAUUUGGAACAUAAGAAAAACGGCUUAGCUUGAGGAGAGAGAGAGAGAAACGUGUUUCUCUCUUAAUUUCGCUAGUCAUCUUCAUCACCAAGAUCGUUCCAAGUUUUGGUAUGAUGAAUAUUUCUAUGUUGAUUUAUGUUUUAUUCAUGAGUAGCUAAGCUUAUUUGUUAGGGUUAUGGAAACCUUGUAGUAUACUCUCUAUUGCUAUUGGUUUUUGAAUUUAUUAUAUGUCACGCCACUUAUAUCAUUACUCUCUUCAUUUUGAUUGAAUUCUCGUGGUUGCAAACAUAGGGAAUAUGCCAUUAUAGCAAUAACUUGUUUGAUGGAAAAGUUACUGUUUGGAAAAGAGAGUGUGACAAGAAAAUAGGGUUUCCAACCCCUAUUUUAGACGUUAAUGCCCUAGCAGGAUUAAUUUGUUGUACACUUUGGAUUCGAGAGAAGUAAGGUUAAUAAAUACUCGAUGGUUGAAAAACACUUGGAUUUAGAAUUAGAAUACGUCUCUCUAUAAGUGCAUGCAUGUAUAAAAUCCGUAUUACUCAUAGUUAAUAGAGAAGUAGAAGCUACAAGGUGGACAUAACCCUAACUUGUCAUUCUCUAUGAUCAAAUAUAGCUACACAUAUUAUUGUGCACUUAAACCAAACCCCUCUUUCCGUGGAACCUUCGAUCGACAGUCUAAUAAUAAUCGCAAUACUUAGUGAUCAUAGUAUUCCCUGUGGGAUUCGACAACCAACCCAGUUGGGUUCUAUAUUUGACAGCAACCGCUUACACUUUCUAACGAGAGUUGUAAUUUGGGCGUAUCAAAUUUUGGCACCGUUGUCGGGGAAUACGGUUGUCAACUAAGUUUGUGUUAGUUAAUAGACCCNNNNNNNNNNNNNNNNNNNNNNNNNNNNNNNNNNNNNNNNNNNNNNNNNNNNNNNNNNNNNNNNNNNNNNNNNNNNNNNNNNNNNNNNNNNNNNNNNNNNNNNNNNNNNNNNNNNNNNNNNNNNNNNNNNNNNNNNNNNNNNNNNNNNNNNNNNNNNNNNNNNNNNNNNNNNNNNNNNNNNNNNNNNNNNNNNNNNNNNNNNNNNNNNNNNNNNNNNNNNNNNNNNNNNNNNNNNNNNNNNNNNNNNNNNNNNNNNNNNNNNNNNNNNNNNNNNNNNNNNNNNNNNNNNNNNNNNNNNNNNNNNNNNNNNNNNNNNNNNNNNNNNNNNNNNNNNNNNNNNNNNNNNNNNNNNNNNNNNNNNNNNNNNNNNNNNNNNNNNNNNNNNNNNNNNNNNNNNNNNNNNNNNNNNNNNNNNNNNNNNNNNNNNNNNNNNNNNNNNNNNNNNNNNNNNNNNNNNNNNNNNNNNNNNNNNNNUAACUCCUGACUCUAUUACCAAUUGGAGGCAACUGAAAAAAGCUUUCCUAGAAAGAUUCUUUCCGCCAUCCAAGAGAGAACAAUUAAGAGAUGAGAUAAGCAAUUUCAGACAGCUUCCAACUGAAGCUCUCCACGAGACCUGGGAUAGGUUCAACAAGAAGCUUAUGCGGUGCCCAAAUCAUCAGAUGACCAAUGUUCACUUAAUGGAAAUAUUAUAUAGGGCUUUAAACUCGGUAACUAAGCCAGUGAUAGAUAAUGUUGCGGGUGGGUCAUUCAUGGACCUUACUUUUAUUGAGGCAUGUGAUAUGCUAGAUCGUAUGACAAAGCAGAGUAGAGCUUGGCAUACCAGGGAUUCUGAGGUAGCAAGCUCUACUGUAUCUAGUGGCAUGACGGUAGAACAGAGACGAAGAGAAGAGGAACGUGACCAGGAUAUGGCUCACAUGAAAACGAAGAUGGACCUUCUUACCAAGCAUUUAUUAUCUGGGAAGACAGAAAAGGUCAAGGUUGUUGUAUCACAGGGAAGAGAUGACUCCGAUUCUGAGGAGGAAGCAAAUUAAUUGAAUAAUCAGGGGGGUUUUCGAGGCAAGGCCCAAGGAAACCAAGGUCGGAACUAUUAUGAAAAAUCUGGAUACAAGGACCGAGACCAAGGGAAUUGAAAGAAUAAGAAUGACAGGAGCGGUUUGUAUGUCCCUCCUAGAAAUCAUGAAGCUGCUGCACCUAGCUCUAGGAAGAUGUCUAUGGAGGACAUGAUGGCUAAGCUGUUGAAAGGAGUGGAGGCAACCAACACGGGAGUAACUGAGGUAAAAAAUGAUUUGUCCUCAAUAAAUCAAUUGGUUGACUCGCAUUGCACUUCAAUAAAACAGCUUGAACAACAAAUGAGUCAACUAUCAGCGGCAUUCAAUCAAAGAAAAUCUGGCACUUUACCGAGUGACACUGUCCCAAAUCCAAGGAAUGAUGAAGCAUGUUUGGCUAUUACAACUAGGAGUGGUAAAGUGUUGGAAAAUCCAUUGAAGGGCAAGCCUAUGGUUGAUGAUAUAGAAGAGAAUGUUAUUGAAGCAGAUUGUGAUGUUUCUAUAGAAGUUGAAGAUCAAGAUGAGAACGUUCAUGAUACUACACCUAGAUGCCAGCAGUCUAAAAAGAUUGAUAAUGGAAAACACAAUAAAAAGAAAGUGGUGGAGAAAACUCUUCCAAAUCCACCACCACUUUUUUCUCAGAGACUGAAGAAGAAGGCUGAUGACACCACGUUCAGUAAAUUCUUGACCAUGCUGAAGCAGUUGACUAUUAAUGUGCCUUUGGUGGAGGCACUGGAGCAAAUUCCAGAGUACGCCAAAUUCAUGAAGGACCUUUUGACAAAGAAAAGAGUAGCGAGCUAUGAACUGGCAGAUAAUUUUCAUCAUUGCAGUGCAAUUGCCAAGAGGUCUUUGGUAUAGAAGAAGGCAGAUCCGGGUGCUUUCACUAUUCCUUGCACGAUUGGAUCUUUAGAUUUUGCUAAGGCGUUAUGCGAUUUGGGGGCUAGCAUUAAUUUGAUGCCACUAGCCAUUUAUAGAUAGUUGGGGUUGGGGGAUCCUACACCAACCAACAUGCGAUUCGUAAUGGCAGAUAAGUCGGUAAAAUGACCUGUUGGUAUCUUAUAUGAUGUAUUAGUGAAGGUUUUUACCUUCAUUUUUCCUGCAGACUUUGUUAUUUUGGAUUGCGAGGUGGAUUUUGAGGUGCCCAUAAUCUUGGGUCGACCUUUCCUCGCAACAAAAAGUGUGCUUAUUGAUUUACGAGCAAAUGAGCUUUUAUUUUGGAUGAAUAACAAAGUGGUCCAUUUUGAUGUAUGCAAAUCAAUGAAGCAGCCCAAAGAUAUGAAUGUGUUCUCUAUAGAUGAUGUUUAUUAUGAGGAUGAGAAGGAAUUAUCUUUAGAAAAACAGCUUACUGUUGAGCCAUUGGCUGCUGUGCUUUUGAACUUUGAUCAUGAGGAUGUUAAAGAGUACGAAGAAACUAUCUGUGCUUUGACAGGAAUGGGGUCGUAUUCUUAUGCCCCCAAGAAGCUGGACCUUGACCUUAAAAAUCGACCUUCACCACCGACAAAGCCAUCCAUUGAAGAAUCACCGGUGCUAGAAUUGAAAGAGCUACCCAGUCAUCUAAGGUAUGCAUUCUUGGGUAGUGGAAAUACACUGUCGGUCAUUAUUGCUACUGAUUUAGGUGAACAACAGAUAGACGCUCUCAUAUCUGUUCUGAAGAGGUACAAGAGAGCUAUUGGUUGAACUAUUGCUGAUAUAAUUGGUAUCCCUCCUGGCAUAUGCAUGCACAAGAUUCAGCUAGAGAAAGAUUGCAUACCCACUAUUGAGCAUCAACAUUGUCUGAAUCCACCUAUGCAAGAGGUGGUGAAGAAAGAAAUUAUAAAGUGGUUAGAUACAGGGGUGGUGUAUCCAAUCUCAUACAGUAAAUGGGUGAGUCCUGUACAAUGUGUACCCAAGAAAGGGGGCAUGAGAGUAGUAGCAAACAAGAAGAAUGAGCUAAUUCCACUCAGGCCUGUCACAGGGUGGAGAGUGUGUAUGGAUUACCGGAAGCUAAACUCGUGGAUGUUAAAGGACCAUUUCCCAAUGCCAUUCAUAGAUCAGAUGCUUGAUCGAUUGGAAGAGAAGGGAUGGUUCUAUUUCUUGGAUGGUUAUUCCGAAUAUAAUCAGAUUUGCAUUGCCCCUGAAGAUCAGGAGAGGACCACUUUUACAUGCCCAUAUGGUACCUUUGCAUUCAAACGAAUGCCAUUUGGGCUAUGUAAUGCACCUGCCACUUCUCAGCGAUGUAUGAUAUCUAUUUUUUCUGAUAUAGUUGAAGACACCUUGGAGGUGUUUAUGGAUGACUUUUCGGUUGUAGGUGCGUCAUUUGAGUCAUGCUUGGCAAAUCUGAGUAUGACUUUGCAGCGAUGUGUUGAAUUCAAUCUGGUGCUAAAUUUGGGAGAAAUGUUAUUUUAUGGUUAAGGAAGGCAUUGUUCUUGGGUAUAAAGUCUCUGAAAAGGGAAUUGAAGUUGAUAGAGCCAAGAUUGAAGUUAUCGAGAGACUACCACCUCCACUCUCUAUGAAGGGGGUUCGUAGUUUCUCGGUCAUGCUGGUUUUUAGCAGAGGUUUAUUAAAGACUUCUCUAAGAUUGCGAACCCAUUAUGCAGACUUUUGGAGAAGGAGGCAAAUUUUUACUUUGGUGAAGAUUGCUUGAAGGCAUUUGAAUGCCUCAAAGGAAAGCUAGUUGAAGCCCCUAUUAUUGUAGCCUUGGGUGCUGUACUUGGUCAGAAAAGAGAAAAGCUAUUUCAUCCAAUCUACUAUGUGAGCAAGUCCUUGAAUGGAGCACAUAAGAACUAUACCGCCACUGAACAAGAGCUUCUAGCGAUUGUUUAUGCUUUCGAGAAGUUCCGUGCUUACUUGUUGGGAUCCAAGGUAGUGGUUCAUACAGAUCAUGCGGCUCUAAGAUAUCUGAUGGAAAAGAAGGAUGCUAAGCCAAGCCUAAUUAGAUGGGUGUUACUGCUUCAAGAAUUCGAUUUCGAGGUAAAGGAUAGAAAAGGUUGUGAAAACCAAGUAGCUGAUCAUCUAUCUAGACUUGAGAGUGAGCACACAGUGCAGACCGACCUUGAUAUUGAUGAUGCAUUCCCAGAUGAAUAGAUUCUAGCAACUGUGAUGGAAAAAUUACCGUGGUAUGCAGAUUUUGCUAACUACAUGGUAAGCGAAGUGAUUCUUGAGCAUCUCUCCUUUCAUCAAAAGAAAAAGUUCAUGCAUAAUGUGAAACAUUAAUUCUAGGAUAAGCCUUAUCUUUUCGACGAUGUGUUGAUGGUAUUAUUAGGCCGUGCAUCCCAGAUAUAGAGGUGCCUAGCAUACUGGAAGCAAGCCAUGCUUCCCAAGUUGGAGGUCACCAUGCAGGUGAUCGGACGGCCAUGAAAGUACUACAAAGUGGCUACUAUUGGCCUUCAUUAUUUAAGGAUACCGAUGAUUUUGUAAGUAGAUGAGAUCAGUGUCAGCGGCAAGGUUCUAUUUCAAAGCACCAUGAGAUGCCCAUGUCCAAAAUGCUUGAAGUAGAGUUAUUCGGUGUCUGGGGUAUUGAUUUCAUGGGCCCAUUUGUGAGCUCAUUUGUGAUGAAAUAUAUCCUAGUUGCUAUGGAUUAUGUAUCUAAAUGGGUCAAAGCAAUCGUGCUAGCUGAUAAUGAGGGUAAGAGUGUUGUGGCAUUUUUAAAAAGAAAUAUCUUCUCUCGUUUUGGGGUACCGCGUACCAUCAUAAGCGAUGGAGGAUCACAUUUCUGCAACAAGCUGUUCAGAGCCGUAUUGGCAAAGUAUGGGGUUAAGCAACAUAAGGUAUCUACACCGUACCACCCACAAACUAGUGGGCAGGUAAAGGUUUCAAAUCGGGAAAUCAAGUUGAUCCUUGCUAAGACUAUGAAUGCCAGCAGGAAAGAUUGGUCCAAGAAACUGGACAAUGCCUUAUGGGCAUAUAGGACCGCGUUUAAAACACCAACUGGCAUGUCACCAUACCAACUAGUUUAUGGAAAGGCUUGUCACUUGCCAAUUAAGCUAGAACAUAAAGCAAUGUGGGCACUGAAGCAGCUUAACCUAAAAUAAGAUGAUGCCAUAGAUAUAAGAUUGGGAUAGAUGAACAAGAUGGAUGAUUUUUGUCUAAAUACAUAUGAAAGAGCAGAUCUUUAUAAGGAAAUGAUGAAAAAGUACCAUGAUCGGAGGAUUAUCCAAUGAAGCUUUUAGAAAGGCAAUUUGGUACUUCUUUUCAACUCCAGACUGAAGCUAUUUCCAGGUAAGUUGAAGUCUAAAUGAUCUGGUCCAUUCAGAAUCAGCCAAGUUUACUCAUCUGGAGUAGUGGAGUUAGAAAACAAUGAUGGUGGUGUCUUUAAGGGGAAUGGCCAAAGAGUGAAGCUAUAUAUCGGUCCAACCGACUUGAUAAAAUGUAUAGCCACCAUAUAUCUCGAUGAAGUCUGAGUAAUCGAGAUAACUAUGUCGUACCGUGACAAUAAAUCAAGCGCUACAUGGAAGGCAACCCAUUAUUUUACUAGGAUUUUGUUUUUUGUAAAUAAAAAUUCAAAAAGAAGAGUCGAUCCACGACCAAAACUAAGGCGCUUGGCGGGAGGCAACCUAUCCUUCUAAUCAUUUUUGUUGUUCUUGAGUAAGUGUCGGUGCAUGAAGUACAAAGAAGGAGAUUAGCCCCAAAUUUUGAUUUAGAAGUGAGUCAUGUCAAUCGUGGUAAGUCUAGGAAUGAUGGAACAAUACAGGUAAGUGGGAGUGGUCAAAUGUGUAAGGUUCAAGUAUGAUUUGCAUUAGAGUCGCACCAUGAAUUAUGAAGAUUCGACCCAAAAAGUUUCACGGUGCGACUUUAUUUUGUGACUUUCAAUAAAGUCUGUGGUGGUAGCGUAGGGAUCGGUCCCACCACUGACCUUGAUGGGGGUACGAGGGCAAAGCCCCCACGGUAUGGACCUUUUCGACCAAGAGUGCUUUGCUUUUCCAAUUGCCUAUGCCAACAUAGGCAAUAGGUUAGGCGCCGCCUACUUAUGCUUAGGCAAUGCUAUAGGCGCCGCCUAUUAACAUGAAUUUUGCCCUAAAGUUUUCUUAAACUUAAGCACCGCCCAACCCGACCCAUGCCUCAUCUUUUAAAUAUAUCCUCUACCUUUAAACCCCACUAAAGUUUUCUUAAACUUAAGCACCGCCCAACAUUUCCCUCUCCAAGUUUUUCUCUUUUCUUAUUUAAUCCUGCAGGCUCACCUUCCCAAUUCAUCACGAAUUAAUCACCAAGUAACAUGGCUCCGAAAGGACGAUAGGGAAAGGAGAAAGCAUCCACCUCACAAAAUGGUCAAAAAUGGUCAAGAAAGGACCAGGCUGAUUUCUCCUCUCAUCAAGUGCCUCGAAGCACUUUUGGGAUCAAAUGGGUUCUGGAGGAGGAAGGGAAGGAAUGGUAUAGAAACAAUAAGGUGAAGAAAUAUGUACAUGUGGAUUUGAUGCAGAAGGAAAGUUUAGCAAAGAACUGCCCUCAUAUUUUGGCAAAGAUUAUGGCACUAAAUCUUGAAUUUAUCUUUCGAGAAAUGGGAAAAUGUAAUCUUGAUUUGACUUGAGAGUUUGAUGCCAACUGGUCCCCAAGGACUACGGGAAAUGAAGUAAAGAUUCGGGGGCAAGUCUUGCAAUUGAAUGCUAAUUUCUUCAACUCUUUCCUGGGUACUCCAAGUGUGGAUCAAUCACCACUCAAGGAGCUCUACAACAGACCUCCCUACAGAGCCAUCAGACAUACGUUGUGUAGAUCAAGGUCCAUGACCCAGUAGACUCAUCACAAAGAUAAUGGUCAUCACAAUACUUACCCAUAUGCUUGUUUGAACAGAGAAGCUCGCAUAUGGUUAAGAAUAGUCAAUUCCUGCUUGAUUCCUGGGAUACAAUACACUAAGGUCAAGGCAGAUCCCACGAAAAUCAAAGAUCCAGAAACUGGUCAAGGCAUCAACCUUACCACUGCUGAGAGAUAUGCUCGAGAUGAGAGUUUUUUUCUCCAUCUGUAUGGCAUGACUAGGGUUACUAUGAUGAAUGGGGGUCGUGUGCUGACUGAUGCAGAGCUUCAGCAGUUGGACUAUGACUACCCGCUUAAUGAGCAUGCUCGGGCCAUAUGUGGAGUAGGGGUAAAUUUUGAAGAAUCUCUAGAUGAUGAUGUGCCGACAGACGAUGAUCACCAGCUGCUAGACUCUAAUGUAGAGGACAACUCUGAUGAUGAAGACUCUGAUGAUAAUUCUGACACAGGGGGUAUGACCCUGGAUGUAGAGGAGGAGUCUGACUAACCAAGUUUUUACUUAUUUAUUUACACUGAGGGCAGUGUGUUCCGUAUAAGUGUGGGGUGCGGGUAUAUGUCUGCAGAUUACCUUGUCUGCUGUGUUUCGUACUGCUUGCCCGCAUUUAUUCUAUAGUCAUUUUGAUUUAGUCGUAGUUAGUUAGUUGUAAUUAGUCAGAUUGUUGCAUGAAAUUGUUCUUAUAGACGGCAUGGCAUUAUAACAGGAGUUUGUGCUGAAUCACUACUAUUGAAACAUUUAGGCUCUAAGUUGUGACUCAUUCUGUGAUAAUUACUUGUGGUUUAAUUCAUUUAUCUGUUGGGUCAAGAAUCUAUAAUGCUCCUAAUUAAGUUGACCAUGUGCAAUGUGUAUGUAAGGUUAUUGUAUAUUCUUUGUUGCGACUGAUGCUAGAACUUGCCUAGUGUGUGUGUGAAGCGAAAUAAAGAUUGUGAGAUUAGGAGAUGAUUUAGGCAUUUCUUUGGCAGCCGUGAUUUUGUUGAUCUUCUUUUUACCUACCUUUGUACAUUGUCCUAGUGAACACCCUUUGAGCCUUUAGCUAUUUUCUUUGGCAACCUCAUAUGUAGCCUAAUCCUUUUUUUAAAAAAAAGACCAUAAUUUGAUCUAAAAGCUCCUAAGCACUUUAAAUUGUAGAAUCAAGUUGAGUAAAGAGUGUGGCAAAAUAAGAGGAAAAUAGUGAAAGUGAUGCCCCAAAGUUUAGUUAUUGGUACAUGAAAAUAUUAUGAUCGAGGGUGGCUAUCAUAGGAAUGCUUAAUAAAUAAAUAAAAAAGAGUUGUAUAUUCCCAUCAAUAGUGUUUUAAUUGAGUAACAAAAUGGGUGAAGAAAGGUUGAGUGGUUGGUAGAUGAAAGAAAGGUAGAGUGGUUGUUAAAAGUUAGUGUAAAUGGCAUAAUGUAGUGUAUUAAAGCGCUUAGGGAACAUAGUCACUAUUUCUGGCCAACAUAGUCCUACCUGUCCCUUUAGCCUACAUUACAACCCAUAAAGACCUAUUUGAUCCUAACCUUAGCAUUCUGAUAUUAGUAUAGCAUUACACUAAGGGAAAGCAUAUGGUCAUAAGUUGUAAUCUAAGAAUUCUUUGUGAGAGCUAGAGCAAGCAAGUUCUUAUACCCAUAUUUCUGAAAAAUGCAAAACUAUGAGUAAUUAUGGGUAACAUUUUGUGUGAGCGCACAUGGUUGAUGAUUGUUGGGUAGUUUUAUAUGAUUUUUUUGGCUUAACUUGUGAAUACGAAUUAACCAACUUAAUGAGUCUAUGUUAGAGGGUGAGUUGUUUCUAGUAAUGAUUAAGAAAUCUACUCUUUGUUAAUAAUUGCCGUGUAUGUCUUGUUGAAAAUUUUGCGUUACUCUUGUUAAGUGUAGUUAGGUAUUCACAUGGAUGUACUAUUUUGUUCGAGGACAAACAAAUCUUUAAGUGUGGGGUGGUGAUGUUGGGCAUAUUUAUACGUCUAAGCACCAUAAUUUACCCAUGUUUUAGCUAAGUUUUGAGGAUAAAAUACAUAAUUCUUGCACUUUUAGUCUAUUUUUAGUUAAGUGAGCUGACCUAUGUGAUUAGCAUGCUUUUCAGGUACUAAUAAGGAAUAUUUCAGCUCUUUAGGGACCUGUGGACAGCAAAGGAAAACUUCACAUAAAAAGAAAAGCAGCUCUUGGACUGAAUGUGAUGCAUGGGAACUUUUUCCCGGGCAAACUCAAUAUUUUUAAAUAGUUAAGGAUGCAGUAGCAAUUUAUUAGAGAAGGAUGUUAUUAAAAGCCUUAUUGCUGAAUUUUUAAUGCAUUAUUGACAUUAUUCAGAUUCUGUAAUAUUUGGAACACAAGAAAAACGGCUUACCUUGAGGGGAGAGAGAGAGAGAAACGUGUUUCUCUCUUAAUUUCGCUAGUCAUCUUCAUCACCAAG